UACGUAGGGGCUAGCGUUGUCCGGAAUCAUUGGGCGUAAAGAGCGUGUAGGCGGUCCGGUAAGUCCGCUGUGAAAGCCCGGGGCUCAACUCCGGAAUUGCCUUUAAGACUGCAUCGCUAGAAUUGUGGAGAGGUAAGUGGAAUUCCGAGUGUAGAGGUGAAAUUCGUAGAUAUUCGGAAGAACACCAGUGGCGAAGGCGACUUACUGGACACAUAUUGACGCUGAGGUGCGAAAGCGUGGGGAGCAAACAGG
rnacentral:rRNA from 1 species